CUAAACUAGUUUGCAUAUAAGUAAGAAGAGAAUUUUGGGUUUUGUAAAGAAUUUCUUCCGCGCGGAGUGGUAACUGGCAGCAAUGUCUGAGAUUGAUCAGCCGGAGGAACCUCAGUCAUCGCGUCCUCUUACUAUCUACGAAAGACUCGACAAAAAUUGACGAGGCGAAGCGACAAUAAAAACAAAAGUUGGUCCUUUGAAGUUUAAUAAAAAGCCAAAAUAUGUAGGCGGAUUGCGAAAUAAUGGAGAGUUUUGUACCUUGGAUGAAGGUGACUAUUAUAGUCGAAUUGCAAGAUCUGUUGCUUUUAGAGUUGCGCCAUCUGUUGUUGCACUGACAUCUUUCGUAGGAGAAAAGUUCCGUUUUAGUUGCUCAGGAUUUUUCAUAGAGUGGAAUGAUAUGUUUGGAACGAUCUUAACUUCUGCUAGUCUCUUCAUAGGAUAUAAGGAUACCAUGCCUACCAUUACCAAUGUUACGGUUGAAGUACAUUUGCCCAAUCGUAAAACAGUGCCUGGUUCCAUUUCACAUGCUGAUCUUCAUCACAACAUUGCCAUUCUUAUGGUGCCAUCUGUUCCUAAACUUCGUGUUGCCACUCUUCUGCCUGAUUUUGAGCUGCUUACUCCUGGGAAGAGUGUGGUAGCCCUUGGUCGACUUGCUAGCUCGUACAAUUUGCUGGCUGCUCAGGGAGAAGUUUUGCUCAAAGACCACGAUUUAGAUGAUGAUGUUUUGCCUACAGGCUGCUAAUUUCACGUUAUGGCGUUGGGGGACCUCUUGUUGACAUCGCUUCGGGAUCAGUUAUUGGAAUGAAUUUCACUGAUGCAAACUGUUUUGUUUUUCUUCCCAAUACCAUUUUGCUGAGAUGCUUGAAGCACUUCAAAAGUUAUGGGAGAAUUGUUCGACCUUGGCUGGGAAUGAGAACUCGAAUCCUUGAUUCUUUGAAAAUGGCCCGGCUUGAAACAAUAUACCAGAAAUUUCCUGAUAUUAAUGGGGUAUUUGUAGAGAAGGUAACAGAGGGAUCCCCAGCAGAUUCUGCGGGAGUUCGUCCCGGUGAUAUUGUGACUCAUUGCGAUGAAAUUCCUGUGUGCUCUCCCCUUGAGUUUGCUGAAGUACUGUUUGAUAAAGCUGAGAACUCUAUGGAGCUUGGGUGUGAUAGGGAAGUGAUGAUAAUGCAAAUAAGAGACAGGCAAUUGCUGUUGAGGUGGUUAUAAGAAGGGAAAGCUGUGGUUCCGAUCUGGUCAAAAGUAUCGUUAUUGACAGGCUUACCCUACCGGAAAUCAAUCGUUGUUCCUCUGUGAUGCCAGGAAUGAUUAAUGUCGAUUGAUAUGCACAGGUCAAUAUCAAUGCUAUGGAAUUUUUAAAGAUGACAACCCCAGUAGUAUAAUGGUCGUUGUUGACACGAAAUUUUGUUAAUUAUUAGGUGUCAGAUAUAUGUAAAUAAGAAGAUAAUAUCAAAAAAUAAGAUAUUUAUCUUCAAGAUCUCGUAGAAUAUUUGAUAGUUAUCUUGUUUACUACUCAACAAUAUUCUAUAUAAAGAGAGUCGCUUGUAGGGUUUAAUUAGGCUCGGAUGGAACAAGGCACAAAGACCCCAUCUCCUCCCUACUACCAAACACUGUAGGUACAAGUAUGGAUUAAGCCGACAAGGCCCCGUACUACAAACAAAUAUCAAGACUCAAACCCUUUGGAGAGGGAAUUAAGAGAUCUGCGAGAGUUGUAACUCAUAAAUUAUCAAUGAAAUAAUUUUUCCCGUAUAUUUUUCUACCUCUUUAAUUAUAUAUUGCAGGUUUGAAUUUUUAUGGUUUAUAUUCGUCAUUUUCAUUUUUUUGAUUUUCAUUUCUGUCAAUCCUCUUCCAAUGAACAGUAGCUACCGGGUCUAAAGCG